rnacentral:lncRNA from 1 species
UAUGGGUAUACACUCAGGAUCAGUCUAAAAUAAUUUUUUUUGAUAUUGAUUUUUUUCUCUAAAAAAAAUCAACCUGUGAAUCUGAACGAAGUCUGGAUCGCGAUCAACUUUUUGAUCCUUUCCUUGAUCUUCUUCUUCUUUUACUUUUCUUUCCUUGAUUAUGAAGCAAUCAGAGACUAAAAAUUAGCAAAUAAAAGGGAUGCCCAAACUCCUUUGGG